rnacentral:rRNA from 1 species
GACAGAGGGGGCAAGCGUUGCUCGGAAUUACUGGGCGGAAAGGGCGCGUAGGCGGAAUGGCAAGUCGGUCGUGAAAUCCUUCGGCUCAACCGAAGAACGUCGAUCGAAACUGCCGUUCUUGAGGAUUGCAGAGGAGACUGGAAUUCCCGGUGUAGCGGUGAAAUGUGUAGAGAUCGGGAGGAACACCGGUGGCGAAGGCGGGUCUCUGGGCCGAUACUGACACUGAGGAGCGAAAGCGUGGGGAGCGAACAGG